UCUCUCUCUCUCUCUCUCUCUCUCUCUCUCUCUUUUUGCUCUAUUGUGGGUCACGUACUGGUAAAAGAACAUAUAGUCAACAGUUAGACCCUUUCCACUGAGGUUUUAAGACUCAGACAAGUCCCAUGCAACUCGUCCAAGUUGACUUAGAUUCAGUUGGACCUGGUCCGGUUCGACACUACAAUCAGAACUGAAAAUAAGGGUUGACUCAGAUGGAGCCAUAUGUCCACCAAGUCUGUUUUUGUUUAUGAAUUGCCAUAGAAAAUGUGUAGGUGCUUAAUUUAGCAACAUGAGUUAGUGCAUAGACUAGAUGUGAUCUACAUUCUUCUGGUCAGAAGACUUUCUGGCACAAAUCCUUGAGGUCAUUACAUGUUCUCAAUAUAAGGUAUCGAGAUGUUGAUUCUUUCUUCAGUUUUUGUCCAUGCAUGCAUGCUUCUGCGAAUAGUCUUUGACUAGGUUUGUAGGUCCAAUCUCGGUUUUUGUAGUCACCAGAGUUAGUCUAAUGGUAACUGAUCCAGUUUUGGCGUGCUCAUGGUACGAAUGAGAAACUGUAAAACCACAGGGUCUCUCCUGUUCUAGUGCUAGAAGCUAACACAGAAGAUCCGGGCAAGAUCGCCUCUACAAUGAUUGAUCUCAACUCGACGCCAAACCGGAUUCAUGGGCAGCCUUCAAAUACACAGGUGCAGGGGAUGAAUGCUUUAAGCGAUAGCAAUCAUGAAUGUGCAAGUGUAGUUCCAGUGGGAUCUUGCAAUCAAGAUCUAGAGAAGUAAGCAAGGUAGAUUCUAUUCUUCUCAUUUAUGCUAAUUCAUUGGUCUUUUUGUUUAACCAUUUCUUGGUUAAAGGAAAAAAAAAAGAAAAAGAAAAAGAAAAAGAUGAGCCUAACUCCUUCGGCCUUCUGAGUUUUGGAUGUCCUAAAAAAGAAAAAGAUUAGAGUUGUUUAGACUAAUCAUUGGUUAACAUCUAUAAACCAAUGCCAUGGUGCAUGGGGUGUUUUUUUUAAAGCAGGAGUGCAUGGGACUGAAAUGUACAAUGCAUCUCUUGAAUUUUUGGGGGAAUGCAUGGGAACUGUUAUACAUGUUUUGUUGAGUUCUUUUGAAAUGCUUCAUUUUGUAUGGUAAAA